AGAGUUCGUUCCUGGCUCAGAUUGAACGCUGGCGGCAGGCCUAACACAUGCAAGUCGAGCGGUAGAGAGAAGCUUGCUUCUCUUGAGAGCGGCGGACGGGUGAGUAAUGCCUAGGAAUCUGCCUGGUAGUGGGGGAUAACGUUCGGAAACGGACGCUAAUACCGCAUACGUCCUACGGGAGAAAGCAGGGGACCUUCGGGCCUUGCGCUAUCAGAUGAGCCUAGGUCGGAUUAGCUAGUUGGUGAGGUAAUGGCUCACCAAGGCGACGAUCCGUAACUGGUCUGAGAGGAUGAUCAGUCACACUGGAACUGAGACACGGUCCAGACUCCUACGGGAGGCAGCAGUGGGGAAUAUUGGACAAUGGGCGAAAGCCUGAUCCAGCCAUGCCGCGUGUGUGAAGAAGGUCUUCGGAUUGUAAAGCACUUUAAGUUGGGAGGAAGGGCAGUAAAUUAAUACUUUGCUGUUUUGACGUUACCGACAGAAUAAGCACCGGCUAACUCUGUGCCAGCAGCCGCGGUAAUACAGAGGGUGCAAGCGUUAAUCGGAAUUACUGGGCGUAAAGCGCGCGUAGGUGGUUUGUUAAGUUGGAUGUGAAAUCCCCGGGCUCAACCUGGGAACUGCAUUCAAAACUGACUGACUAGAGUAUGGUAGAGGGUGGUGGAAUUUCCUGUGUAGCGGUGAAAUGCGUAGAUAUAGGAAGGAACACCAGUGGCGAAGGCGACCACCUGGACUAAUACUGACACUGAGGUGCGAAAGCGUGGGGAGCAAACGGGAUUAGAUACCCUGGUAGUCCACGCCGUAAACGAUGUCAACUAGCCGUUGGAAGCCUUGAGCUUUUAGUGGCGCAGCUAACGCAUUAAGUUGACCGCCUGGGGAGUACGGCCGCAAGGUUAAAACUCAAAUGAAUUGACGGGGGCCCGCACAAGCGGUGGAGCAUGUGGUUUAAUUCGAAGCAACGCGAAGAACCUUACCAGGCCUUGACAUCCAAUGAACUUUCUAGAGAUAGAUUGGUGCCUUCGGGAACAUUGAGACAGGUGCUGCAUGGCUGUCGUCAGCUCGUGUCGUGAGAUGUUGGGUUAAGUCCCGUAACGAGCGCAACCCUUGUCCUUAGUUACCAGCACGUAAUGGUGGGCACUCUAAGGAGACUGCCGGUGACAAACCGGAGGAAGGUGGGGAUGACGUCAAGUCAUCAUGGCCCUUACGGCCUGGGCUACACACGUGCUACAAUGGUCGGUACAGAGGGUUGCCAAGCCGCGAGGUGGAGCUAAUCCCACAAAACCGAUCGUAGUCCGGAUCGCAGUCUGCAACUCGACUGCGUGAAGUCGGAAUCGCUAGUAAUCGCGAAUCAGAAUGUCGCGGUGAAUACGUACACGGGCCUUGUACUCACCGCCCGUC
rnacentral:rRNA from 1 species